rnacentral:misc_RNA from 1 species
GAUGAAGAACGCAGCGAAAUGCGAUAAGUAAUGUGAAUUGCAGAAUUCCGUGAAUCAUCGAAUCUUUGAACGCACAUUGCGCCCCCUGGCAUUCCGGGGGGCAUGCCUGUCCGAGCGUCAUUUCUGCCCUCAAGCACGGCUUGUGUGUUGGGUGUGGUCCCCCCGGGGACCUGCCCGAAAGGCAGCGGCGACGUCCGUCUGGUCCUCGAGCGUAUGGGGCUCUGUCACUCGCUCGGGAAGGACCUGCGGGGGUUGGUCACCACUAUAUUUUACCACGGUUGACCUCGGAUCAGGUAGGAGUUACCCGCUGAACUUAAGCAUAUCAAUAGCGGAGG